UCCCUGGUGGCUCAAAGGUUAAAGCGUCUGCCUUCAAUACGGGUGUCCCGGGUUCGAUUCCUGGGUUGGGAA
rnacentral:tRNA from 1 species